rnacentral:rRNA from 1 species
AUUGAACGCUGGCGGCCGGCCUAACACAUGCAAGUCGAACGAAUGGCGGACGGGUGAGUAAUGUCUGGGAAACUGCCAGAUGGUGGGGGAUAACUACUGGAUACGGUCGCUAAUACCGCAUACCCUCGGAUGUGCCCAGAUGGGAUUAGCUAGUAGGUGGGGUCACGGCUCACCUAGGCGACGAUCCCUAGCUGGUCUGAGAGGAUGACCAGGCACACUUGAACUGAGACUAGGACCAAACUCCUACGUGAGUGGGCAGGGGGGAAGGUGGCACAAUGGGCGCUAGCCAGAAGCAGGGAUGCCGCGUGUAGGAAGAGGGCAAUAGGUUAGUAAAGUACUUUCAGCGAUGAGACGUUACUCGCAGAAGAAGCACCUGCUGAUGCCGUGCCAGCAGCCGCGGUAAUUC